rnacentral:misc_RNA from 1 species
CCAGGUCGGGUGGGUCAGUCUAAUUGAUCAUUUUCCCGUCUUCCCUCUCUCGUCAUCAUCUCAGCCUAAGCAGCCUAGUGCGCUUCUUCUUCAUUGAAACCGCAAAGACCAGUGAAGAAAACGUUCUCUUUACCAUUUUCCCUUGUCUACUUGAUUCUUUCUAAGGAAAAUGGAGAACCUGAAUAUGGCGCUACUCUCCUCUUCCUCUUCUUCUUCUUAUUAUUCUUCUCCAAAAUUGGUUUUGCGUUAUUCUACUUACCUCAAAAACCCUACUGCUACCCUUCAAUUCUCUAGAACCAGAGCCCUUCCCUUCACUCUUAGGAAUUACAGGAUUGUGCCUCACAGCUCCAGAAUUUCCAACUCUGCUAUGUCUCACCCUCGCGCCUCCACCAACCCUUCCAGAGUUUACAAAGAUAGGAGAUUAGGUGCUGAAUACUUCGCGAGCAUUUCUUCAUCGACCGGUCAGCAAACGUCUUCUGUUGGGGUUAACCCACAGCCACUGCCACCUCCGNCGUCUUCACAAUUCGGGUCACCUUUGUUUUGGAUUGGAGUUGGUGUUGGACUGUCCGCACUUUUUUCAUGGGUGGCUACGAAUUUAAAGAAAUAUGCCAUGCAACAAGCUUUCAAAACUAUGAUGAACCAGAUGAAUACACAAAAUAACCAAUUCACCAAUCCUGCUGUUUCUCCUGGUUCACCCUUUCCAUUUCCAAUACCUCCUGCAUCAGGACCUACUAGCUCACCUUCAUAUCAAACACCAUCAGCAUCUGGGGCUGCUACCUCCCCUUCAUAUCCAACAUCAUCACCACCUCCAGUUGCAUCUCAAUCUACAAUCACUGUAGAUGUUCCUGAAACAAAAGUAGAAGCAACUCCAGUCACCGAUGCCAAAGAUGAAUCAGAGAUAAAGAAGGAACCUAAGAAAUAUGCUUUUGUAGAUGUCUCUCCUGAAGAAACUUUUCCAAAGAGUCCUUUUAUAAGCGAUGAAGACAUUUCAGGCACAAGCUCAUCCAAAGAUGCUCAGUUUGCCAAAGAAGUUUCUCAAAAUGGCGCUGCUUCUAACCAGGAUUCCAGUGCUUCUUAUGGUUCUCAAUCUACUCGUCCUCGCUUAUCUGUGGAGGCUCUGGAGAAAAUGAUGGAAGAUCCGACUGUGCAGAAGAUGGUUUAUCCAUAUUUACCAGAGGAGAUGAGGAACCCUUCUACUUUCAAAUGGAUGCUGCAAAAUCCACAAUACCGUCAACAACUGGAAGACAUGCUGAAUAAUAUGAGUGGAAGCGGUGAAUGGGACAACCGGAUGAUGGAAUCCUUGAAAAAUUUUGAUCUCAGCAGUCCUGAGGUCAAGCAGCAAUUUGAUCAAAUUGGCCUUACCCCUGAAGAAGUAAUCUCAAAAAUCAUGGCUAACCCCGAUGUUGCCCUGGCAUUUCAAAAUCCUAGAGUUCAAAAAGCCAUUAUGGAUUGUUCACAGAACCCGCUUAGCAUAGCCAAAUAUCAGAAUGACAAGGAGGUUAUGGAUGUCUUCAACAAAAUAUCAGAACUCUUCCCAGGGGUGACAGGUUCUUAGUCUCAUCACUUGUGCAGAAUUGCUGUUCUUGAGGAUAAAUAUGCUGAUGGGUUUGCAGCUGGUGAGCAAAUGGCAAUAGAGCCUGCUGGAUUGUUCACUUCUCAUAUGAAAAUGGUUCCAAAAUUUUUGGAUAUUGCCCCUCCUUUCCCUUUGACUUUUUGUGCAAAUAGGGCAUAGUUUCAGUUUAAAUUUGUACAAGGCCUUUGGGAUGUUCUUGUAAAGUUACUUAUCAUU